rnacentral:rRNA from 1 species
CCUACGGGGGGCUGCAGUAGGGAAUCUUUCACAAUGGGCGAAAGCCUGAUGGAGCAACGCCGCGUGCAGGAUGAAGGCCUUCGGGUUGUAAACUGCUUUUAUAAGCGAGAAAUAUGAUGGUAACUUAUGAAUAAGGAUCGGCUAACUACGUGCCAGCAGCCGCGGUCAUACGUAGGAUCCGAGCAUUAUCCGGAGUGACUGGGUGUAAAGAGUUGCGUAGGUGGCAUAAUAAGUAGCUAGUGAAAUCUGGUGGCUCAACCAUUCAGACUAUUAGCUAAACUGUUAAGCUCGAGACCGUUAGGGGUAACUGGAAUUUCUAGUGUAGGAGUGAAAUGCGUAGAAAUUAGAAGGAACACCAAUAGCGUAGGCAGGUUACUGGGACGGUUCUGACACUAAGGCACGAAAGCGUAGGGAGCAAACGGGAUUAGAUACCCCAGUAGUC